GGGUAUACUGGGUUUGUUGUGCACGUCUUCUGUUUAACUUUUUUUCCUUUUUUAAAAUUUUGUUUAUGGUUUUAUAAAGCCAAUUUGCAGAGCAAAUGCGUCGAAAAUGGCGAAAUUUGCAUUGAAGGUUGGCAAUAUCAAUAGCAAUUCUCCGUGCCUAUUAAAUCGAUCAUUUUGAUUAUGGCCUCGAACAAGUUGCAACAGUUUCAUCAUUGUUAUAUGCUUACUUCCGGCAAAAAGAAUUGAAUUUUUUUUAGACCUAUAUGCCUUUUGUUGUGUAAUUUGAAUCCGUGAUGUAUUCAGAUUAAGUUAAAGUGCUUUAAAUAUCAAUGAAGAGAAAGUUAUUAUGUGCUGUAUGUACUUUUUUUCGCUCUUUUUGAAGUCUGUCUGCAGUUGCGGUAGUUUACCUUAUAUGUAUUACAUAUCUUUAUUUUUUGAGAAAAAAACCUUAAUGUAUUGGGAAGGCAAUUUGCAGAGCAAGAGUGUCUAAAAUGACUACAACUUGCAUUGAAGGUGGCCAUAUCAAUAGCAAUUCUCCGUGCCUAUCAAAUCUCUUAAUUUCAUUUUGAUUAUGGCCUCGAACAAGUUGCU
rnacentral:lncRNA from 1 species